rnacentral:rRNA from 1 species
GACGAACGCUGGCGGCGUGCUUAACACAUGCAAGUCGAACGGAAAGGCCCUGCUUUUGUGGGGUGCUCGAGUGGCGAACGGGUGAGUAACACGUGAGUAACCUGCCCUUGACUUUGGGAUAACUUCAGGAAACUGGGGCUAAUACCGGAUAGGAGCUCCUGCUGCAUGGUGGGGGUUGGAAAGUUUCGGCGGUUGGGGAUGGACUCCCGGCUUAUCAGCUUGUUGGUGGGGUAGUGGCUUACCAAGGCUUUGACGGGUAGCCGGCCUGAGAGGGUGGACGGCCACAUUGGGACUGAGGUACGGCCCAGACGGCUACGGGAGGCAGCAGUGGGGAAUAUUGCACAAUGGGCGGAAGCCUGAUGCAGCAACGCCGCGUGCGGGAUGACGGCCUUCGUGUUGUAAACCGCUUUCGCCUGUUACGAAGCGUGAGUGACGGUAAUGGGUGAAGAAGCACCGGCUAACUACGUG